AGAGGGGGAUACCAGUUGGAAACGGCUGUUAAUACCGCAUAAACUUUGAGGAGCAAAGCAGGGGACUGAAUGGCCUUGCGCUAUUGGAUACGCCUAUGUGAGAUUAGCUUGUUGGUGAGGUAAAGGCUCACCAAGGCGACGAUCUCUAGCUGGUCUGAGAGGAUGGUCAGCCACACUGGGACUGAGACACGGCCCAGACUCCUACGGGAGGCAGCAGUGGGGAAUAUUGCACAAUGGGCGCAAGCCUGAUGCAGCCAUGCCGCGUGUAUGAAGAAGGCCUUCGGGUUGUAAAGUACUUUCAGUUGAGAGGAAGGCAUUAUUAUUAAUACUGAUAAUGUUUGACGUUAUCAACAGAAGAAGCACCGGCUAACUCCGUGCCAGCAGCCGCGGUAAUACGGAGGGUGCGAGCGUUAAUCGGAAUUACUGGGCGUAAAGCGCAUGUAGGUGGUUUGUUAAGUCAGAUGUGAAAGCCCGGGGCUCAACCUCGGAAGGUCAUUUGAAACUGACGGGCUAGAGUUUUGUAGAGGGGGGUAGAAUUUCAGGUGUAGCGGUGAAAUGCGUAGAUAUCUGAAGGAAUACC
rnacentral:rRNA from 1 species